GCGGGCGUAGCUCAGUUGGUAGAGCGCAGGUUUGUGGUACCUGAUGUCGUGGGUUCGAACCCCAUCGCUCGCCCCA
rnacentral:tRNA from 1 species